rnacentral:lncRNA from 1 species
GUUGCAGAGCUUUUGACCCUUGGUCAAUUGAAAACCAAAGGAUGUAGCACAGAGCCUCUGAGCUGCCUUCAUCGCCUACAGCUGGGCCAAGGAUGACUCUUGAUGUCUGAAAGAGGAAGAAUUUCCUGAAUUUGCUCACUGCUCCUGUCCUCUCCCUGCAGACACCUGUGAAUAUCUGCUCCAGGGAGAAAAGAGAUGCAUUAUAGCCACUGAGUGCUGUAUACUUGCCGAAACACGAGUCUUGAUACGAG